ACGUUCAAAGAAGCGCGCAGCCCGGGGCAGCAGCAAGUGCUCCUUUUUCGGUGCGCUGCUUUCCAACUCUGCUGCCCUUUGAGGCUUUUCCUAACAACCGCACCCAGAGGUCCCAGCACGGGUCUCAGCAUGCCAGGCCUGGGAGCCCCGCACCACCGCGAGAAUCGCCGUCCCCUACCUGGGUGGAAAAUCCGCAGCGAGCCGGUCAGCAGCCGAACACCGCACUGGCAAAGCCUCACAGGAGACAGCUAUAUCAGGAUCCCUUCAGCAAAAUCUUGCUGGCAUAUGCAAUAGUGUCUGCAUUUGGUGGCUGAUUAUGGGAUGGACCCCCAGUUUCUAAAGGGAAUAUGUUCCAUGAAGAAAUGAAGACACAGUUCAAAGAAUCUAUACUCCAUCCAAUCCAGGCUUCUUCAGCAAUUGUGGAGUUUAGAAGGAUGUAAAUUCUGUGUGCAGCCCAUUACUGACCUAAGGCUGGUGAUUAGCAACUCUAGAGGUAAACCAGCCCCCUUGCUUAUGACUUAUUCAGAAACUCAAGCCUAACAGCAUUUCUUUGCCACAGAGAUUGAUUUUAGAAGGUUUGCAGGGUCUGGCUAAAUAAAGAACCACUCCUGG
ensembl:processed_transcript 1500012K07Rik RIKEN cDNA 1500012K07 gene